rnacentral:rRNA from 1 species
AGAGUUUGAUCCUGGCUCAGAUUGAACGCUGGCGGCAGGCCUAACACAUGCAAGUCGAGCGGUAGCACAGGGAGCUUGCUCCUGGGUGACGAGCGGCGGACGGGUGAGUAAUGUCUGGGAAACUGCCUGAUGGAGGGGGAUAACUACUGGAAACGGUAGCUAAUACCGCAUAACGUCUACGGACCAAAGUGGGGGACCUUCGGGCCUCAUGCCAUCAGAUGUGCCCAGAUGGGAUUAGCUAGUAGGUGGGGUAAUGGCUCACCUAGGCGACGAUCCCUAGCUGGUCUGAGAGGAUGACCAGCCACACUGGAACUGAGACACGGUCCAGACUCCUACGGGAGGCAGCAGUGGGGAAUAUUGCACAAUGGGCGCAAGCCUGAUGCAGCCAUGCCGCGUGUGUGAAGAAGGCCUUCGGGUUGUAAAGCACUUUCAGCGAGGAGGAAGGGUUCAGUGUUAAUAGCACUGUGCAUUGACGUACUCGCAG